GUCAGCAGCCGCGGGAACACCGGCGGCCCGAGUGGUGAUCGUGAUUAUUGGGUCUAAAGGGUCCGUAGCCGGUUUGGUCAGUCCUCCGGGAAAUCUGAUAGCUCAACUAUUAGGCUUUCGGGGGAUACUGCCAGACUUGGAACCGGGAGAGGUAAGAGGUACUACAGGGGUAGGAGUGAAAUCUUGUAAUCCCUGUGGGACCACCUGUGGCGAAGGCGUCUUACCAGAACGGGUUCGACGGUGAGGGACGAAAGCUGGGGGCACGAACCGGAUUAGAUACCCGGGUAGUCCCAGCCGUAAACGAUGCUCGCUAGGUGUCAGGCAUGGCGCGACCGUGUCUGGUGCCGCAGGGAAGCCGUGAAGCGAGCCACCUGGGAAGUACGGCCGCAAGGCUGAAACUUAAAGGAAUUGGCGGGGGAGCACAACAACGGGUGGAAGCCUGCGGUUUAAUUGGACUCAACGCCGGACAACUCACCGGGGGCGACAGCAAUAUGUAGGCCAAGCUGAAGACUUUGCCUGAAUCGCUGAGAAGAGGUGCAUGG
rnacentral:rRNA from 1 species